rnacentral:rRNA from 1 species
AAUUUAAAGUCUAACCUGCCCAAUGAGGAGUUAAAUGGCCGCGGUAAUUUGACCGUGCAAAGGUAGCAUAAUCAUUAGUUUUUUAAUUGAAAGCUGGAAUGAAUGGUUGGACGAGAAAAUGACUGUCUCAAUUUAAUUUUAUUAGAAUUUUAUUUUUAAGUAAAAAAGCUUAAAUGGUUUUAAAAGACGAGAAGACCCUAUAGAGUUUUAUAUAUUUUAUUAUAUAAAAGUAUUGGUAUAUAAAUAUUUAUAUAGUAUUAUGUAUUUUGUUGGGGUGAUAGAAAAAUUAAAUAAACUUUUUUUAUAUUAUUACAUUAAUUUAUGGUUGAAUGAUCCGUUAUUAACGAUUAUAAGAUUAAAUUACCUUAGGGAUAACAGCGUAAUUUUUUUUGAGAGUUCUUAUCGAAAAAAGAGUUUGCGACCUCGAUGUUGGAUUAAAAUUAAUUUCUGGUGUAGGGGCUAGAAUAUUAGGUCUGUUCGACCUUUAAAAU